rnacentral:rRNA from 1 species
UACGUAGGGUGCGAGCGUUAAUCGGAAUUACUGGGCGUAAAGCGUGCGCAGGCGGUUGUGCAAGACAGAUGUGGAAUCCCCGGGCUUAACCUGGGAACUGCAUUUGUGACUGCACGGCUAGAGUGUGUCAGAGGGGGGUAGAAUUCCACGUGUAGCAGUGAAAUGCGUAGAUAUGUGGAGGAAUACCGAUGGCGAAGGCAGCCCCCUGGGAUAACACUGACGCUCAUGCACGAAAGCGUGGGGAGCAAACAGG